rnacentral:lncRNA from 1 species
CGAGUGCAUAAGAAGAGAUCUAAAAGUAAUGCAAAAAGAAGAGACGUGUGUAUGUCCUAAUAAAAAAAAAGAGAAAUAAAAGAAAAAAAAAAGAGAAAUGCACUUGCCGAGACUUACGACUCUAACACCUGUCAAAUGCUCACAGAGAAUUGAGUUAAAAAGAGUCAAAAGUGAAUAAACCCCUAGAGUUAUGAGUUAAGCACGAAAAGAAAAGAGAAAAUUAAACAACAUGAAUGCUGAGUUCAAAACCAUUUGUUAUCCAUUUCU